GGGAGUGUGACACAGCUUGUUAAAAAAAAGAAGCAGCGUUGUGAACAAGACAUAUAGACAAAAUCCAGCCUCCAAAUAAGGAGAUUUAUCAAUGGAUGAACGGCUAUUGUUCUUUUAAAAUUUGCAUUUAACAGAUUGCAAAGGCUUCAGAAGGGAUAAUUUAUUGGCUCAGGUUGCAGGGCUUUUUGCAGAAGUUCGGUCUGCUCCUUAACAUGCACUUGGUAGAAACCAGUAGCUGUUGCAGCAGAUGGAGCACGUCCAACAUAGUUGAUGUCCUCAAAAGAUCCUCUUCCCAGUGCUUUCAUGGCAGUGCAAAGACGGGGUGCAAUGUAAUUGUAUGCACCCAUGUUCAUUG
rnacentral:misc_RNA from 1 species